GUAUAAAAGUGAGUGUUUAUGUUUUGUUCUCAAACACUAUUUGUCCUGACAAAGACUGAACAAGUGUGACCCUUAGUGGUGGACAUAGAAUCAAUCAACUGAAGAUGUUGAAACUUAUCGUGCUGUCGUGUCUAGUUGCCUGUGUCUUGUGCCGAUCCUACGGAGUAAGGCGUGAUUCCUCGUUGUUUGACGGACUCAGUAGAAAUACGUGGGGUUCAAACUUUGACCGUUGGGGAAACGAUCCUUGGAACAGUGAUAUGUAUGGAAACGACUGGUCCCGACGUGGAAGCGACAUUUGGGGAGACAGGUGGUCUGGUGACAGGAUAGGAAACAGAUGGGGAUACGACCGAAGAUACUGAUGCAGAGACAAAGAAUGAUGCUGAAAGAUCGAUGUGGUCAAAGAUUUAGUGGAAAAUCCGUUUUAACAAUUUCAUGUAUGUCUAUUUGUAAAAGUGUAUUUAAACGUUUUAUGUAUACAUUAAAUUGUUACUUCAUAUUCAUAAUAUUUUGUAAAUAAAU